rnacentral:rRNA from 1 species
UGGGGAAUUUUGGACAAUGGGGGAAACCCUGAUCCAGCCAUCCCGCGUGUGCGAUGAAGGCCUUCGGGUUGUAAAGCACUUUUGGCAGGAAAGAAACGUCAUGGGUUAAUACCCCGUGAAACUGACGGUACCUGCAGAAUAAGCACCGGCUAACUACGUGCCAGCAGCCGCGGUAAUACGUAGGGUGCAAGCGUUAAUAGGAAUUACUGGGCGUAAAGCGUGCGCAGGCGGUUCGGAAAGAAAGAUGUGAAAUCCCAGAGCUCAACUUUGGAACUGCAUUUUUAACUGCCGGGCUAGAGUGUGUCAGAGGGAGGUGGAAUUCCGCGUGUAGCAGUGAAAUGCGUAUAUAUGCGGAGGAACACCGAUGGCGAAGGCAGCCUCCUGGGAUAACACUGACGCUGAUGCACGAAAGCGUGGGGAGCAAACAGG